CAAUAGCGUAUAUUAAAGUUGUUGCAGUUAAAAGCUCGUAGUUGGAUUUCGGAGUGGGCCAGUUGGUCCGCCGCAAGGUGUGUUACUGACUGGUUUGCUCUUCUUCGCAAAGACUGCGUGUGCCCUUAAAUGAGUGUGCGUAGGAUUUACGACGUUUACUUUGAAAAAAUUAGAGUGUUCAAAGCAGGCUAUUGCUUGAAUACAUGAGCAUGGAAUAAUGGAAUAGGACUUUGGUCCCAUUUUGUUGGUUUUCUAUUGGGCCGAAGUAAUGAUUAAGAGGGACAAUUGGGGCAUCCGGUACUUUCUGUUGUCAGAGGUGAAAUUCUUGGAUUU
rnacentral:rRNA from 1 species